GAUGAACGCUGGCGGCGUGCCUAAUACAUGCAAGUCGAGCGAACAGACGAGAGUGCUUGCACUCUCUGACGUUAGCGGCGGACGGGUGAGUAACACGUGGGUAACCUACCUAUAAGACUGGGAUAACUUCGGGAAACCGGAGCUAAUACCGGAUAAUAUUUAGCUUCGCAUGAAGCCAUAGUGAAAGACGGUUCUGCUGUCAAUUAUAGAUGGACCCGCGGUGUAUUAGCUAGUUGGUGAGGUAACGGCUCACCAAGGCAACGAUACAUAGCCGACCUGAGAGGGUGAUCGGCCACACUGGGACUGAGACACGGCCCAGACUCCUACGGGAGGCAGCAGUAGGGAAUCUUCCGCAAUGGACGAAAGUCUGACGGAGCAAUGCCGCGUGAGUGAAGAAGGUUUUCGGAUCGUAAAACUCUGUUGUAAGGGAAGAACAAGUACGUUAGUAACUGAACGUACCUUGACGGUACCUUACCAGAAAGCCACGGCUAACUACGUG
rnacentral:rRNA from 1 species